UACGGAGGGUGCAAGCGUUAAUCGGAAUUACUGGGCGUAAAGCGCACGUAGGUGGUUUUCUAAGUCAGCUGUGAAAUCCCCGGGCUCAACCUGGGAAUGGCAUUGGAUACUGGCUCGCUAGAGUGCGGUAGAGGGUGGUGGAAUUCCCGGUGUAGCAGUGAAAUGCGUAGAGAUCGGGGAGGAACAUCUGUGGCGAAGGCGGCCACCUGGGACCAACACUGACACUGAGGCACGAAAGCGUGGGGAGCAAACAGG
rnacentral:rRNA from 1 species